rnacentral:lncRNA from 1 species
GUGGUCGUUGUCAAGGACCGGGAGACUCAGCGGUCCAGGGGUUUUGGUUUCAUCACCUUCACCAACCCAGAGCAUGCUUCAGUUGCCAUGAGAGCCAUGAACGGAGAGGUGGGGCCUCCUAUCUGCAGAGGGACCUUGUCCCCAUCUGCGGCUUCCUUCAUUCUUUUUGUUUUUCCCUCUGUGUCUGCUCGGGGCAGCGUGGCCACCAAGCCCCGCAGUGCCCACUCACAGGAGCAUGACUGCCUUUUGUUCUAGGGGGUGGAGGGCAGCGGCAGACAGAGCCUGGCCGCCUGGGAGGCGACGACUGGUCCUGCAUGAGGCCGAGAAGCCACCUGUGGAUGGUUGACCUGCCUUGGGCUUAGGUAGUAGAGUCUGCAGACCUGUGGGCCUGGCCCGGAGAGGACCUCGUGAGUCUUCUGACAUGGACUCUGAAGCCUCAAACCAAGAGAGGUGUCUGUCUAGCCCUGAUAGUCGGGCAGCUUAGAGGAGUGGGGAGGAGAACUCAGCCUGAGUUCAGUCAAGAUUCUCUGGAUGGUCGUCAGAUCCGUGUGGAUCAUGCAGGCAAGUCUGCUCGGGGAACCAGAGGAGGUGGCUUUGGGGCCCAUGGGCGUGGUCGCAGCUACUCUAGAGGUGGUGGGGACCAGGGCUAUGGGAGUGGCAGGUAUUAUGACAGUCGACCUGGAGGGUAUGGAUAUGGAUAUGGACGUUCCAGAGACUAUAAUGGCAGAAACCAGGGUGGUUAUGACCGCUACUCAGGAGGAAAUUACAGAGACAAUUAUGACAACUGAAAUGAGACAUGCACAUAAUAUAGAUACACAAGGAAUAAUUUCUGAUCCAGGAUCGUCCUUCCAAAUGGCUGUAUUUAUAAAGGUUUUUGGAGCUGCACCGAAGCAUCUUAUUUUAUAGUAUAUCAACCUUUUGUUUUUAAAUUGACCUGCCAAGGUAGCUGAAGACCUUUUAGACAGUUCCAUCUUUUUUUUUAAAUUUUUUCUGCCUAUUUAAAGACAAAUUAUGGGACGUUUGUAGAACCUGAGUAUUUUUCUUUUUACCAGUUUUUUAGUUUGAGCUCUUAGGUUUAUUGGAGCUAGCAAUAAUUGGUUCUGGCAAGUUUGGCCAGACUGACUUCAAAAAAUUAAUGUGUAUCCAGGGACAUUUUAAAAACCUGUACACAGUGUUUAUUGUGGUUAGGAAGCAAUUUCCCAAUGUACCUAUAAGAAAUGUGCAUCAAGCCAGCCUGACCAACAUGGUGAAACCCCAUCUGUACUAAACAUAAAAAAAUUAGCCUGGCAUGGUGGUGUACGCCUGUAAUCCCAGUGACUUGGGAGGCUGAGGCAGGAGAAUCGCUUGAACCCGGGAGGCGGAGGUUGCAGUGAGCUAAGAUCGCGCCACUGUACUCCAGCCUGGGCAACAGCGAGACUCCAUCUCAAAAAAAAAGGAAAUGUGUAUCAAGAACAUGAUUAUCCAGCGGUAUUUUCUAAUUCAGAUCAUCAAACUGAUUAUAUAGAAGAGUUGGC